rnacentral:rRNA from 1 species
UACGAAGGGGGCUAGCGUUGUUCGGAAUCACUGGGCGUAAAGGGCUCGUAGGCGGCCAACUAAGUCAGACGUGAAAUCCCUCGGCUUAACCGGGGAACUGCGUCUGAUACUGGAUGGCUUGAGUUUGGGAGAGGGAUGCGGAAUUCCAGGUGUAGCGGUGAAAUGCGUAGAUAUCAGGAGGAACACCGGUGGUGUAGACGGCUUCUGGACCGUAACUGACGCUGAGACACGAAAGCGUGGGUAGCAAACAGG